rnacentral:rRNA from 1 species
ACGUAGGGUGCAAGCGUUAAUCGGAAUUACUGGGCGUAAAGCGUGCGCAGGCGGUGAUGUAAGACAGGUGUGAAAUCCCCGGGCUUAACCUGGGAACUGCAUUUGUGACUGCAUCGCUGGAGUGCGGCAGAGGGGGAUGGAAUUCCGGGUGUAGCGGUGGAAUGCGUAGAGAUCCGGAAGAACACCGGUGGCGAAGGCGGUCUGCUGGGCUGUGGCUGACGCUGAGGCGCGACAGCGUGGGGAGCAAACAGGA